rnacentral:rRNA from 1 species
GUGCCAGCCGCCGCGGUAAUACGGAGGGUGCAAGCGUUAUCCGGAAUCAUUGGGUUUAAAGGGUUCGCAGGCGGUCAAUUAAGUCAGAGGUGAAAUACCGUCGCUUAACGACGGAACUGCCUUUGAUACUGGUUGACUUGAGUCAUAUGGAAGUAGAUAGAAAGUGUAGUGUAGCGGUGAAAUGCUUAGAUAUUACACAGAAUACCGAUUGCGGAGGCAGUCUACUACGUAUGUACUGACGCUCAUGGACGAAAGCGUGGGGAGCGAACAGGAUUAGAAACCCCGGUAGUCC